rfam:Mus musculus chromosome X, GRC primary reference assembly.
UGCAGUGCUGUAUUCAGAUUGGUGCCUGUCAUGUUUAUAAGAAUGAAAGACACCAAGCUGAGUAGAGUAGGGCU